rnacentral:rRNA from 1 species
GCUCAGGAUGAACGCUAGCUACAGGCUUAACACAUGCAAGUCGAGGGGUAGCAGGGUAGCAAUACCGCUGACGACCGGCGCACGGGUGAGUAACACGUAUCCAACCUUCCCAUAACUCAGGGAUAGCCUUUCGAAAGAAAGAUUAAUACCUGAUAGUACUUAAGAAAGGCAUCUUUUUUAAGUUAAAGAUUUAUUGGUUAUGGAUGGGGAUGCGUUCCAUUAGAUAGUUGGUGAGGUAACGGCUCACCAAGUCUUCGAUGGAUAGGGGUUCUGAGAGGAAGGUCCCCCACAUUGGUACUGAGACACGGACCAAACUCCUACGGGAGGCAGCAGUGAGGAAUAUUGGUCAAUGGGCGAGAGCCUGAACC